rnacentral:rRNA from 1 species
AACGAACGCUGGCGGCGCGCCUAAUACAUGCAAGUCGAGCGAGAAGACGUAGCAAUACGUUUGUAAAGCGGCGAACGGGUGAGGAAUACAUGGGUAACCUACCCUCGAGUGGGGAAUAACUAGCCGAAAGGUUAGCUAAUACCGCGUACGCUCCUUGGACUUCGGUUCAGGGAGGAAAGCGAUACCGUGGGUAUCGCGCUCUUGGAUGGGCUCAUGUCCUAUCAGCUUGUUGGUGAGGUAACGGCUCACCAAGGCUUCGACGGGUAGCUGGUCUGAGAGGACGAUCAGCCACACUGGCACUGCGACACGGGCCAGACUCCUACGGGAGGCAGCAGUAAGGAAUAUUGCGCAAUGGGCGAAAGCCUGACGCAGCGACGCCGCGUGGGGGAUGAAGGUCCUCUGGAUUGUAAACUUUCUUUUAUAUGGGAACGAAAAGGCUUUUCUAAGUCGUCUGACGGUACCAUAUGAAUAAG